AAGAUUUUAAGUUAAGUAAACUUUUAACCUUCAAAGUUAAAUAUAAAGUAAAAUUCUUUAAGUCUUA
rnacentral:tRNA from 1 species